AUGUGUGUGUUUGGUGACUCCUCACCCGUUCUCUUUUCAUGUAAUGCAUUCAGGACAUUAGAGAUCCCACAAACAAAAUCAUGUCGCAAUGGGAGAAAGAGAUCAGUCCAACCACCGGCACCGCUCGUGAUCUCCGCCUCCAUCAGCUCCACUUCGCUGGAGCAAUCAGUCCAGAGGAGGAGGUGUAGCCGGUCCACCCAAUCUCUGACGUUUUAUUCCACCUCCAAAACAUUUCUUUCUGAGUUCUAUUCUUCGUCACAGGUUUGCUGCCAUUACCUCGGUGCAAAAAGUUCCAAAAGUUCAGUUCAGACUAUACUAGAUGUCCAUAUUGUAGAUAAUAUUUGCAUCGUCUUAAAUUUCUGGAAACAAGCGUCAGUACAAAGAAGGUUCAGUACAAGAAAAACGGGUUAG
rnacentral:rRNA from 1 species